UACGGGGGGGGCAAGCGUUGUUCGGAAUUACUGGGCGUAAAGGGCUCGUAGGCGGCCAACUAAGUCAGACGUGAAAUCCCUCGGCUUAACCGGGGAACUGCGUCUGAUACUGGAUGGCUUGAGAUUGGGAGAGGGAUGCGGAAUUCCUGGUGUAGCGGUGAAAUGCGCAGAUAUCAGGAGGAACACCGGUGGCGAAGGCGGAUCUCUGGGCCAUUACUGACGCUGAGGAGCGAAAGCGUGGGGAGCGAACAGG
rnacentral:rRNA from 1 species